CCCAAGUUUAGUGAAGAACCUGAAGUCUCACAAAGAUCAGGAGCAAUAUGUUUUACAUGUCCUUGGCCCGAAUGGGCCGAUGAGGAAAUUACUGAUAAAAUUUGGGAACUGGAUCAAGAGGAUCUUGCAAGGGUUGCAGAUUUAGGUGCAGAUGCCACAAACAGCAGUGUGCCGCAUUUUGAAGAUCCCGAUAACGUAUUUUUGCCUCAAUCUAUUUGUGAGAAUGUCGUGGAGUGGAAAAGAGCAACAGAGAUAUACACUUUGGAUCAAUUGGUGGUUUAUGAUCCAACUGCAUCACCUUAUUCAAAUUUAACAACCGCCAACAAACAUAUAGUACAAUCGGAGUUCAUGAGAG